UCUUUUUUCAACUUUUUUAUUACUAUUUUUUGUUUUCCUUUUUCCCUAUUUUUAAAUUUUUUUAUUUCUUUUUUUCUUUUUAUCUAUAAAUGUAUUUUAUGUUAUUUUUUCCUUUAUCUACCUUUUAUCUCCUUUUUCGGAUUUUUUUUUUUUUUUUUCAUUUUUUAACUCUUUUUCUUUGUUUUCUUGUUUUUGCCUUUUUUCUGUUUUUAAAUUUUUAACAGUUUUUUAAUUUUUUAAUAUUUUUUUGUGCUUUUUUUUCCUUUUCCUUUUCCUUUUUCCACUUUUUUGUGCUUUUUCUGCUGUUUUUUAUUUUAUUUUUUUCUCCUUUUUCUGAUUUUUUUCUGUUUUUCUUUGUUUUAUUGUUUUUGGCUUUUUUAUGAUUUUAAUUUUUUAACAAUUUUUUACUUUUUUAAAUAUUUUUUGUUACCUUUUUUUCUUUUUCCUUUUUCCACUUUUUUAUGUGCUUUUUUCCCCAAUUUUUUCAUUUUUUAUAUACUUUUUUUAUUUUUAAUUUCCUUCCACUUUUUUUGUUUUUAAUUUUUAAACUUCUUUUUAUUUUUUUUUUUUUUUGCUUUUAUUUUUAUUUUUAUUUAUAUAUAUAUGUUAUUAUUUUUUUCCUUUGUUCUCAUUUUCUUAUUAUUUUUCUUUUUUUCCUUUUUUUCCAUGUUUUUUAACUUUUUUGUAUUUCUUUGCUUUCCUUUUUCAUGCUUUUUUCCUUCCAUUUUAUUUUCAGUUUUUUUUCCAUAUUUCUGUUUUUCUAUAUUUUUUUAUUUUAUAUAUUUCUUUUUUUCUUUAUUAACUUUUUUAAGUUUUCUUCUAUUCUAGUUUUUUUUAGUUUUUUCUCCUUUGUUGUAAUCUUUUUUCCUUUCUUUUUAUCGAUUUUUUAUUCUAUUUUUUGUGGUAUCUUUUAAUUUUAAUUUUUUGUGCUUUUUCUUUUUUAUUUUCUUUUCUACAGUUUUUUCCCUGUUUUUCUGUCUUUCAUUUUUUAAAUAUUUUUAUUUCUUCUUUUAUUUAUAUUGUCCCCAGUUUUCCUAUUUUUAAUCUCAUUUUUAUGAUAUUUUGAAAAUUUUUAACUUUAUGCGCACACACAUAAAGUUUUUUUGUUAUCUUCUUUUUUUAUUAUUAUUUGUUAUCUAGUUUUUCUUUUCUUUUUUCUUCUGUUUUUUUCUAUUUUUAUUCUUUUAUUAUUUUUUCUCCUAUUUAUCUCUUUUUUUAAGUUUUUUUUUACUAUUUUUGGUUUCCUUUUUUCCCUAUUUUUAAUUUUUUUCUAUUUAUCUAUAAAUUUAUUUUAUGUUUUCUUUUUUUUUUCCUUUUUUAUUUUUAUCUACUUUUUUUCGUUUUUUUCUGUUUUUCUUUGUUUAUUUUUUUUAUUUUCAACUAUAUUUAUUUGUUUUAAUUUUUUUGCCUUUUUUCUGUUCCGUUUUUUUAUCCUUUUUCCUUCUUUCAAUUUUUAUAUGUUUUUUCCUUCGGUUUUUAUUUUUUUUUUCGUUUUUAUUCAUUUUUUUCAAUUUUUCUUUUUAUCUAUAAAUGUAUUUUAUGUUAUCUUUUUUCCCCUUUUUCAUUUUUAUCUGUUUUUUUUAUCUCUUUUUUCUUUUUUUCCUUUUUUAUUCAUUUUAUUCAAUUUUUCUUUUUUCCCCUCAUUUUUUAUUUUUUCUUGUUUUUUUUAUUUUUAAAAUUUUUUACAACUUUUUUUAAUAUAUAUAUAUAUAUAUAUAAUUUUUUUGAUAUUUCUUUUUUACCUUUUUACUUUUUUUCUUUUUUUCUACUUUUAAUAUUUUUUUAAAUUUCAGUUUUGUUCUAUUUUUGCAUCUCUUUCAAAGAUUUUUUUCUGUUUUUAAUUUUUUUUUUCUAUUUCUUACUAUUUUUUUGGUUAUCUUCUAUUUUUUCCUGUUUUAAUUUUUAUUAUUUCUUUUUUUUCUUUUUUAUACUGAUAUUUUUCCCUAUCUCCCUUUUUAGAUACUGUUUUAUGUUUAAUUGCCAAUUUCCUCUCCUUUUCGUUUUUCUCCCUUCCUUCCUUUUUAUACCUUUUUCUUCUUUAUUCUUUGUAUUUUUAUUUUUUCUGCUUAUAUAGAUAUUGUUAUCUUCUUUUUUUUUCUUUAGUCAUUUUUCUCUCUUUAUUUUGUCGUUCUGUUUCCUACCUGUUUUUUAUUUUUUUUAUCUACUUUUUAUUCUAUUUUUCCUUUUUUCCCUUUUUUUAAAUUUGUUUUUUUUAAUUUUUGUUCCAUUUUUUUUAGUUAUAUUAUUUUUAUACAGUUUAUUUUCUGUUUUUUAAAUUUUUGUCAGAUAAUAUAUUUAUAUUAUUUUUUUCUUUUUCCUUUUUUUCUUCUUUCCCCCCUUUUUUCUUCUUUUUUCUGUUUUUAUCUAAUUAUUCUUUUUUCCUUUUUUAGAUUUUUUUCUAGUUUUAAUUUUUCUGUUUUUUUUUUGUUUUUUUACUAUUUUUUCUUUUUUUCUUUUUUUUUGAUUAUAUAUCUAUUUUUUAUUAUCUUCUUUUUUUUUAAUUUUCUCUUUUUUUUUUAAUUUUUAACUUUUGUUCUGUUUUUUCUAUUUUUAUCUAUCUAUCUAUCUAUCUAUCUCUAUAUUGUUUGUUGUCUUUUUUUCUUCUUUUUAUGUACUUUUGUGGGGGGUUCUUUCAUUUUCUGUUUUCUUUUUUUUCCUUAUAUAUAUUAUUUUUUUAUCUUUAUUUACUUUUUUAUCCCUGUUUUUUCUUCUUUUUUCUGUUUAUCUUCUAUUUUUCCUGUUUUUAUUUUUUUUUUCAUGUUUUUUCUUUUUUUUCUAUUCUUAAUUUUUUUUAUUUCUGUUUUUUUCCCAUGUUUUUUUAUCUAUAUUUUCUAUUUCUAUAUAUCGUUAUUGUUAUUUUUUUCCUUUUGUAUCCUUUUCUUUUUUUCUUAUUCUUUCUGUUUUUAAUUUUUAAUAGUUUUUUCCUUUUUUCUGUUUAUAUGUAUAAUAUUUUUUAUUAUAUUAUUUUUCUAUUUUUUUCUAUUUUUCCCUUUUUAUUAUUUUUAUUCUUUUUCUAUCUUCUUUUUUCAUCUUUUUAUUACAUUUCAUUCCUUUUAUCUACCUUUUUCUUCCUUUUUUUUUGGUCUUUUCUCUCUAUCAUUUUGUUCUGUAUUCUGCAUGUUUUCCUUUUUUUCUUUUUUAUCUAAUUUUUAUUCUGGUUUUUAAUUUUUUUUUCUCUUUUUAAAUUUUUUCAUUUCACAUUUUUUCUUUUUUUAAAUAUUUUUUUAACACUUCUUUCUUUUUUUCCCAGUUUUUUAGUUAACUCAUAAGCAGAGUUCAACGAAGAUAAAAACGGCGUCGUCGCUUAUUUGGAAUUUAAAUAAAAACAAAUAACGUUUUUGAAUGAACGUCGAAUUUUUUGUUUCUUCUGGGUAAAUGACAUUUAAUUCCCCUGAGAUUUCUUACAAUUACAUUUUCUUUCCUUACUUUAGCUGAAAUAGAACUUCCACCUAUAUUAUUAGUUUUGUCGAGCAAACAGAGUUAAUGGAGGCGGGCAAAUCACCGUUAUAUGCAUCUGGGGUGGGUAAUAUUUGGGGAGCUUCUGAGCCAAACCAUAUGGUCCUGGAAACCCCCACGUUAUCAAUAUAUCCGAUCUUAAUAUUAGGGUUUUUAAUCACAUCUCACUACAACGUAAUAAUAUCCCCAAACUUUCCUCUCCUCUUCAACCUUCCCUAAUCCUAAUCGUACACUACCUCAGCCAUCACCUGCCUCUAACUCCAACAAUCCCAUCCGCCUCACCCUAAACCUUCUCUGACCCUAUCACUGUUGUCCCAGUUUGUCGUUAGCAACCACACUCAUACCGCCGCCUUCCGAGAACACCCCCAACCUUCCCACAACCUCUCUCUCCACUGUCUCACGUCCGCGUUCAAACUUCAAGAAUUCCGCUUGGCGCAACUAGUUUACUAUGAUCGAUUUUCUGAAUCAACUACUUUGAUGAUUAGGAUUUAGGACUUGCAUAUUUGACAUUUUUAUGAAAAGCUCAACAGUAAAUUUUUCUAAUGAAAACAAAAAGAACAAUUCAAUUCACGAUUUUACCAGGGCUAAUAAAAUCUGGCGACCUGUCUUGGUAUUAGAUUGCUUAGUAUGAGAUGACUAGUUAUGAUUUUUAUUUGGUUAGUGGAGGGCACGUGGAUUUAGAUUCAUUGUGACUGCGGAGUGAGUGCGUGAGUUAUCUUUAGGUAUGGACAAAUAGUUUGGGUUAUUUGCCAAUUUGUUUCAAACUGUUUGGUUGGAGAAUUACUGAGGUCUCAUAAAUUGAUAAAAAACUUCUUAGAAUUCAAAAUUAAAUUUUCAGAUUCAUUUAAGUGUGUGAAUUUCAUAUAACCAAAAUAAUCAAAAAUAAUUAUUUUGAAUUUCAAAACCUUUUUUAAAUCCAAAUUCUAAAAUUGUAGUACUCUUUUAAUUACUCAGUAUUGUUUUUUUGCACUAGGUUAUAUGUGGGGUUAUGUUUGGGAAUUUGUUGCCUACUAACUAGUUUUGAAUUUGUGGGUUUUUUGUCUUUUAAAAAUUUAUGUUUGAAAUGUAUACACAUUUCAAAACAAGUAUCAACAUUGGCAAAAUUGAAAAUGUGCACCAGUGAAAGGCUGGGACCUCAAACAUUUCCUGUUAGUGUCACGUCUCCGUCAAUUGACGGGAUUUGAUAUUAAGUUAUAAACUAUCAAGGAGUGUAGUGUUAUUUUAGAAAAUAGAGGAGACCACGUAGUUGUCAAAAAUACCCAUGGACGAUAAAUGUAAUUUAUUUCAUUUCUUUUCUUUUAGCGAAUUGCAAGAGAAUUUUUUUUUAUGAAUUGCGGAGAUGCUUUCGUCCAUCCAAUUUUUAAUAUAAUUAGUGUCUGCAAUAAAAUCUUAAAAUUUCAAAGAUUUUCAUUUGCCAAAUCAAACAAAAAGAUUGACUGGUAUUUUCUACAUCUUUCUUCGCGUUUCAGAUACCCGCACCAACUCAACAAUACUAUUCGGUACACAGUCAAACUUUUUCAUGGUAGAAACUUUAAUUAGACUACAACCAAUAAAUAACUGUUACUUAUGGCGGUAGUGUAGCGGCGGUGUUAAUAAAUAAAGAUAUUCCAUUGAUCAAAAAUACAAGUAAGCAUAUUAUUAUCUAUCGUGUAUGACAACGGGGCACAACGGCGUGGCGGUGGGCGACACAACAUUGAUGAGUUUGUGACCUUUAGGAUGUGUUUAGAUUAAAAUUUGGUAAAGAAAAAUAAAUAAAAUAAAAAAUGGGAAGAAGUAGAUAAUUCAAUCGUACGCACGACUUUGCAUUCAAAAACACCAGGGAGGCAAAAUGUAUAUACCCCAAAGAAACAGAAAAUUGGGGUGUUUCAUCAAAACAUAUUGUUUUAUUUAAUUCCAAAUAAGACGCCGUUUCUAUCGUUCAUUCUCUUUUUCUUCAAGUCAACCCCUAUGUGGUGUGAGUCCGUGAAAGUUGUCAAAAACAUGGGGAGGGAAUGUAAUUUACUAUGCUUUUUCUUUUGAGCGAAUUUGGCUAGAGUUUCUUUUAUUAUUUUAUGACUUUCGUUUGAGGUUCUUCCUACUCAAUUUUAGAUAUAAUUAUUUCAUUCGAUAAAAUCUUAAAUUUCAAAAUUUUAUUUGUCCAAAUCAAACAAAAAUAUUGCUCUUUCUUUCGACAUUCCUUCUCCACUUCUCACUAUACCUGCACCAACUCAAUACUACUGUCAAGUCCAACCAAAUUAUUCACUGAUCAAAAAUACAAUAAAAAGUAAAAUUUAUCUAUUGCAGAAUGUCAACAAUAUUAUGUUUGGAUUAAGAAUUUGAUAAAAAAAAUAAAAAUAAAAGAAGUAAAUUAUUCAAUGGUCACAAACGGUUGAAUCGUCUUAUUUUUUUAUUUUAUUUUCAUUAUCAUUUUUUUUUUAACCAAAUCCAGAAUAUACAACCUUAGUUGAAGAGCCAAAUAUAUAAAGGUCCAAUUAAAUUAGAGAACCUUAGAUCAUUAAAACUUAUAAGUCCAUCAACUUUUAAUAAUUCAAAAAAAACUUAAUAAACUAUUUGUCUCUAGCCAUAUAAGUCAUAGUCAUAGACUUACAACUUAAGUCAUUAAAAAAUUGCCCAUACACUGACCAAGGCCUCUUAAUUGUAGGCUAUAGCCUACCAAAAGGAAACUAGGAUACUAAUGCUAGAGGAAAUAAAUCAGGAAUCACCUAAAAAUAAAAGGAAACUAAGUAUUUAAAUAUCAACCUCGAGUUGCUUUCAAAUAUUAAACUUUUGUUUUCAUUCCAGCAGAUCAAAAACUUUGAAUAUGCCUCUGAAUUGCAAGCCAUGAUGAAAAAAUUAACAAAUUUAAAAUAAAUGGGAGGAGCUUUUUUUUUUUUCCCUUGCUGCUUUUUUAGGCCAAGUGGUGUUGCUGGCUCGUUCAUGCGAGGAUGAGAUUGCCAGAGACGAAUUGCAGUAACACAGUUGCAGCAUAGACCAGAUUGGUAAAAGGAGGCAGCGACUACCAGUCGAUGACGUUGACAGUACUGUGGUUGAGAUGAUAAUGAAAUGUGAUGGAGGGGAAUGAGAUAAGGCUGAUUAAGCCGUUGAUAAUGAUCAUGAGUGGCGGCAAAAGUUUUUUUUCUGAUCAACUGAGGAGAGGAUUAUGGUUAUGGUGCAAUGAUGAUAGUGGUGCAAUCAACGUAGCUGCGUUUGGAGAUUUGGGUGGUCACACGGAAUGUUUGAUGGUUGCAACUGGAGAAGAGUGGCAGCUCAUCAAGUGAGCCAUUCCGGUAAUGCCUUUGCUCUGGCUAUGGUUCCGAUAGUGAUGGUCAUGGUGGUUGCAGCGGGUAUGAUGGGUGCUUUGCGGAAGUGGUGAAGAAUGAGAGAAUGAAGAGAUGGAAUGUCGACCCUAAGAUGUGAUACCAAAAUGGAGAGGGAGAAAGGGUGGACGGCGAGGAAGACAAGUCCACAGCCUUCAUCAAUCAAUUCAGUUAUAAAUCAGCACAUUUCCAGACCAACGUCUCUAAUGUUCUAGGUUGCUAGCCCUAAUAAGAGGAAACUAAAACCAUGAUACUAAAAGGCAAUAAAUCGAAAAAACUCGAAUUAACCUUAAAUUUUAAAAAGAAAACUUAUUAAAAAAUAAAAAGUAAUCAAUAAAAAAUUAAUUACCCAAAUCAGUCUUCAUACAAUAGGUAUUGCUGUGGGAAAAAAAGACAAAAGGACAGAGGUUGAACAACCAAAACAUAUAGGCCAGCCAUAACUGACAUGAAAUCUAUCAAUCAUGCCUAAAAAUUGCUUCAGACCAAAUAAAGCCUUGCGCAAAUGACAGACAAAAGAUGCUCAUAGAAAUAUGCUCAUAUAUUUCAAGUCAUAGAAAUAUGAUCAAUAAAACUCUAUUUUAAAAAAAAUUAAAAAAAUUGGGGUAAGUUUUGCCAAAUAUGCUCAUAUAUUCAAACUGCAUGAUCAAACAAAAUGUUAAAAAAGGCAUGUUUAAACUGAAAUAGAUUAACACAUGAAGCAGUAACUCAAUAAACAAUUAACAUGUAAAAAGUACUUAAUCCAAGUAAU
rnacentral:lncRNA from 1 species